GCGAUUUGAGAAAAACAACUAUAUUGUCUUGCAGGGAAAACUUCAUGAGAUGCUGCAUGGAAAACACUUUUCGCCAAAACUGAGCGUUGUCAAGCUGCUGUACGCCAUAGUCGAUCGAUUCUGGACUCCGCCUUUGGGUCGGAAGAAACCCGCUCCAAGUUGUUGCCCCCAUUGCUGUGGAAAGUCUCGUCAUUAGCUUUUAGUUGGAAUCAAAGUCACAAUGAGGGAUUGGUAAUAAUGAGUUGGAGAUGAUCGCAUGAGGGACAGUUUGGCGAGACUCAGGAUCAUAUAUUUAUUUUAUUUAUGAUAUUCAAACACAAACAAAAUCAGAAGAGAAAAUGUAACAGAAAAUCGCAAGGAAAUCAACUGAGAAUUAAAUCUUCAAAA